GACGAUCUGGCCGAGUGGUCUAAGGCGCUUGACUAGAAACCUGAAUAUUCAGGCCUGAAAUCAAGUCUCUUCGGAGGCGGCGGUUCGAAUCCGCCGGUCGUCG